UCGAGUGGCGAACGGGGUGAGUAACACGUGAGUAACCUGCCCUUGACUUUGGGAUAACUUCAGGAAACUGGGGCUAAUACCGGAUAGGAGCUCCUGCUGCAUGGUGGGGGGUUGGAAAGUUUCGGCGGUUGGGGAUGGACUCGCGGCUUAUCAGCUUGCUGGUGGGGUAGUGGCUUACCAAGGCUUUGACGGGUAGCCGGCCUGAGAGGGUGACCGGCCACAUUGGGACUGAGAUACGGCCCAG
rnacentral:rRNA from 1 species